GCCGCGUCUCCUCUGCGCAGAGAUUGGAGCAGUCGCGGCGGCUGGCUAAGGCCCGUGAGUGCUGGCAGAAAGCUUCAAGGGACUCUGUGGCCCUGUGGCUCAAGUGGAGCUGGCGGAAAACCCUGAGGAGCUUGAGACAGCCACGGCUUAGGUGGAGCCGGCGUCGGCUGGCUCGGAGCGUGGGCGAGUUUCCUCUUGGCAGGUGCCGCGGGGGUUGACGCAAGGACUCCCCCGCUUUUUUUUUAGUUGUCUGUCUGGGGUGUGACUGAAUCCCAGGCUAAGCCGUAGCCUCCCAGCCUGCCAAAACAGAACUUGUUUUAACAUGACUCUCAUAUCACCACCUGUACUCCGUUCUGCUGUGUUUUUCAAAGUGUAAUCUCUGGGCAUCCGCUUAAAAUCCACCUGAGGCGGUGGUUGAAAAUCCAAAUCGCUGGGCCUCGGUGCAAGACGCCUCUUGAAGCGCGAGGUUAUUUUUUUCUUUGAGAGUCAGAAAAUAAACAGUAUACAACAAAGAAAGGAACCUGAAAAGGAGCUUAGUUCUGCAGGAAUUUAAAUUCUGAGUCUUUGGUACAAUCUUGACCUGUACUACCAACUAACACCGGCAUCAGUGAGCAUCCUAAAUGUUCUGCGUUUGUUGAUCCCAAAGACUUGGAGAGUAGAGAUGUAGCAAUCUUGAUAACUUGGGCGCAUUGGGUCAUGGCCCCACAGAUUUACUCCAUUAUUAAGUAUGAACUAAUCUGUUUUGGAAGCAAACAUGCUAUUUACCGCCACUGCAGAGAGAGAAAUGCACAAGGAAAGGACAACUGCCCUGGAUGUUAACAUGUCCAAAUAUGAUGACUAAACCGGCUGCAGCCAUCUUGCAACCAGGGAGGAGCCAGCUGGAAAACAAAACCAGUACAUUGAGAUGACACAACAAGAAGUGGAAAGAACCUGAGUCCUUGAUGAUGCUAUUGAGCUGAUGGAUUAAACCUGGAGUGUAUCUACUAUGGGCUUCCUGCUGGAGUGCAGUGGCUACUCACGGUGAGAUCAUCGCACACCUCAGCCUCAAACUCCUGGCCUCCAGUGAUCUUCCUGACUC